GUCCACGCCCUAAACGAUGCACAUUGGACCGGUGCGGCUCUGACGUCGUAUUGGUCGUAGAGAAAUUGCUAAAUGUGCCGCCUGGGGAGUACGGUCGCAAGGCUAAAACUCAAAGGAAUUGACGGGGGCUCACACAAGCGGUGGAGCAUGUUGCUUAAUUCGAAGCAACGCGAAGAACCUUACCCGGGUUUGACAUGUACGAAUUAGUUUCUGGAAACAGGAAUGAGGCCCGCAAGGGUACAACGUACACAGGUGCUGCAUGGCUGUCGU
rnacentral:rRNA from 1 species